rnacentral:rRNA from 1 species
AGGUAACGAUGCCAACUAACAAUCCGCCAGUGUUAAAUGUAUGACUUGGCGGGAAGCUUCCGGAAAACCAAAGUUGGGUUCCGGGGGGAGUAUGGUUGCAAAGCUGAAACUUAAAGGAAUUGACGGAAGGGCACCACCAGGAGUGGAGCCUGCGGCUUAAUUUGACUCAACACGGGGAAACUCACCCGGCCCGAACACCGUAAGGAUUGACAGAUUGAGAGCUCUUUCUUGAUUCGGUGGGUGGUGGUGCAUGGCCGUUCUUAGUUGGUGGAGCGAUUUGUCUGGUUAAUUCCGAUAACGAACGAGACUCUAGCCUACUAAAUAGGUACUUCAUUUUUCUGUGAAGUAAACUUCUUAGAGGGACAAGCGGCGUCUAGCCGCACGAGAUUGAGCAAUAACAGGUCUGUGAUGCCCUUAGAUGUUCGGGGCCGCACGCGCGCUACACUGAAGGAAUCAGCUAGUAUAUCAACCUUGUCCGGAAGGACUUGGUAACCUGCUGAAACUCCUUCUUGAUUGGGAUAGGGAAUUGCAAUUAUUUCCCUUGAACGAGGAAUUCCCAGUAAGUGCGGGUCAUCAGCUCGCGUUGAUUACGUCCCUGCCCUUUGUACACACCGCCCGUCGCUAUUACCGAUUGGAUGGUUCAGUGAGACAUGCAGACUUGCGUUGAGGCGGCUUCACGGCUGCCCCUUCUGCGGGAAAGCAUUUCUAGCUUGACCAUCUAGAGGAAAUAAAAGUCGUAACAAAGGUUUCCGUAGUGAACCUGCGGAAGGAUC